CUGGCCUCAAGUGAUCUGCCCACCUUGGCCUCCUAAAGUGCCAGGAUUACAGGGCACUGCACGUGCUCCCUGGCCUUUUGCCUUCUUUGAUGUCAUUACCUGCCUGAGCCUUUGCUGAACCUGAGUGCCGGUGAUGGAGAAGUGCCUUUCGUUUUGAAGAAGCCUGCCCUGAGAGAGAGAUAUCAUUGACUUUGUAAGAAGGGGCUUGGGUUGGAUUUGGGGAGCCAUUCGAAGGACACCCUGCAUGAGCACUGGGACAAGCUGCUGCUCUGGGCAACAUUUCUCCCCCUUGCCACUCUGGGCUGCCCAUCUAUCGAACAGAGCCUGCUGCUGCUUCUCUGUUCUCCUGUCUCUCUUAAAUUGUACGGUUUUCACUUCCUCUGGUGGAGUGGAGUAAGUAUCUCUGUAUCUUGUCUGAUUUCUUCAUGCUAGACGUUGGGCAGGAGGCACACGUGAAAUGAAUAAAGACUGGUCACCCAGAGCUUUCAGGGAGGUGCUCACUACCCUGAGAUGCCAGGAGCUCCCGAGAAGAGUGGAUAGGUCUGAGAAUGAACUCUCUGAAUUGGAAAUAAAGUACAGCAGCAGGCUGACUUGUUAUAUCCAGGGGCAGGAGUGGCCCUAGGGAGGGUGCUUCCUGACUUUGGUGUAACUGUUUGAAACAUGCCUUGUUGAGCAAUGUUGGAGAUGCUCACAGUCUGGCUCUCAGGACUGGGAAGACAUAAUAGAAUCACUGAAAUCUCCCAAGAUUGUGCAGACCAGGUAGGUCAGGGUCUUUUCUACUCAUCUGAGGCUCUUUAAGGGCAAGAGCCACCUGGAAAAAGAGGUAUAGGGAAGUGCAUCCAAGCAUCUGCAAGAGGGUGUCCUACUCAAACGAUAAGGAGGAAGCAGUUUCGUGCACCCAUACAUUACUCAAACAACAGAUGCCCUUCAAUGUCUGGUGGGAAAUGUCACUAAGAGGAGCCCUACUCUGUGCCUUCUGUCCCAGGUCCCAAGUUCCUUGUGAGCUCUGCCUCUGUGCCCCAGGGGAGGCUUCAGGCUGACCAACUCAGCAGAGAGGUGAAAAGAAGAGGGAAGCCUCCUCAGUCACCUCUGAGAUAAAAAGAAGAAAGAAAAAAAUAAAAGAGAGGGGGAGAAGGAGAGAGAAAAGGAAAAAAAUCAAAGACUAAUCCUAAAAAUUCUCCUUUAAUCUUAGAGCUUCCAGACCUAGUUUCUCUUUCAUCUAGGACUUCGAAGUUAUCUAGUUAUUUUAUGGGUAGUGAAACCACAAGGCGAAGAGAGGGUGGUGGGGGGGAGAUUAAAUUAAUGAGCAGGUAAGCAGGUUUAUUAUUUCGUCUGAUCCUUCCUUCCUUCCUGCUAAUUUCUCUGAGCCAAUUUGGGAGGCAGAGCCUAUCAUGUUAACUCAGAGACAGAGUAUUGUAUCCAUGUUCUUUCUGAAGUCAUUUAUCUGAAGGAUAUUAAAGAUCCAAUUUACAUA